GGUUAAGCGACUAAGCGUACACGGUGGAUGCCCUGGCAGUCAGAGGCGAUGAAGGACGUGCUAAUCUGCGAUAAGCGCCGGUAAGGUGAUAUGAACCGUUAUAACCGGCGAUUUCCGAAUGGGGAAACCCAGUGUGACUCGUCACACUAUCAUUAACUGAAUCCAUAGGUUAAUGAGGCGAACCGGGGGAACUGAAACAUCUAAGUACCCCGAGGAAAAGAAAUCAACCGAGAUUCCCCCAGUAGCGGCGAGCGAACGGGGAGGAGCCCAGAGCCUGAAUCAGCAUGUGUGUUAGUGGAAGCGUCUGGAAAGGCGCGCGAUACAGGGUGACAGCCCCGUACACAAAAGCGCAUGUGCUGUGAGCUCGAUGAGUAGGGCGGGACACGUGGUAUCCUGUCUGAAUAUGGGGGGACCAUCCUCCAAGGCUAAAUACUCCUGACUGACCGAUAGUGAACCAGUACCGUGAGGGAAAGGCGAAAAGAACCCCGGCGAGGGGAGUGAAAAAGAACCUGAAACCGUGUACGUACAAGCAGUGGGAGCACAGGUUUACCUGUGUGACUGCGUACCUUUUGUAUAAUGGGUCAGCGACUUAUAUUCUGUAGCAAGGUUAACCGAAUAGGGGAGCCGGAGGGAAACCGAGUCUUAAUUGGGCGUUAAGUUGCAGGGUAUAGACCCGAAACCCGGUGAUCUAGCCAUGGGCAGGUUGAAGGUUGGGUAACACUAACUGGAGGACCGAACCGACUAAUGUUGAAAAAUUAGCGGAUGACCUGUGGCUGGGGGUGAAAGGCCAAUCAAACCGGGAGAUAGCUGGUUCUCCCCGAAAGCUAUUUAGGUAGCGCCUCGUGAAUUCAUCUCCGGGGGUAGAGCACUGUUUCGGCUAGGGGGCCAUCCCGGCUUACCAACCCGAUGCAAACUGCGAAUACCGGAGAAUGUUAUCACGGGAGACACACGGCGGGUGCUAACGUCCGUCGUGAAGAGGGAAACAACCCAGACCGCCAGCUAAGGUCCCAAAGUCAUGGUUAAGUGGGAAACGAUGUGGGAAGGCCCAGACAGCCAGGAUGUUGGCUUAGAAGCAGCCAUCAUUUAAAGAAAGCGUAAUAGCUCACUGGUCGAGUCGGCCUGCGCGGAAGAUGUAACGGGGCUAAACCAUGCACCGAAGCUGCGGCAGCGACACUGUGUGUUGUUGGGUAGGGGAGCGUUCUGUAAGCCUGCGAAGGUGGCCUGUGAGGGUUGCUGGAGGUAUCAGAAGUGCGAAUGCUGACAUAAGUAACGAUAAAGCGGGUGAAAAGCCCGCUCGCCGGAAGACCAAGGGUUCCUGUCCAACGUUAAUCGGGGCAGGGUGAGUCGACCCCUAAGGCGAGGCCGAAAGGCGUAGUCGAUGGGAAACGGGUUAAUAUUCCCGUACUUGGUGUUACUGCGAAGGGGGGACGGAGAAGGCUAUGUUGGCCGGGCGACGGUUGUCCCGGUUUAAGCGUGUAGGUGUGUGUUCCAGGUAAAUCCGGUUCACUUUAACACUGAGGCGUGACGACGAGGCACUACGGUGCUGAAGCAACAAAUGCCCUGCUUCCAGGAAAAGCCUCUAAGCAUCAGGUAACAUCAAAUCGUACCCCAAACCGACACAGGUGGUCAGGUAGAGAAUACCAAGGCGCUUGAGAGAACUCGGGUGAAGGAACUAGGCAAAAUGGUGCCGUAACUUCGGGAGAAGGCACGCUGACAUGUAGGUGAAGUGAUUUACUCAUGGAGCUGAAGUCAGUCGAAGAUACCAGCUGGCUGCAACUGUUUAUUAAAAACACAGCACUGUGCAAACACGAAAGUGGACGUAUACGGUGUGACGCCUGCCCGGUGCCGGAAGGUUAAUUGAUGGGGUCAGCGCAAGCGAAGCUCCUGAUCGAAGCCCCGGUAAACGGCGGCCGUAACUAUAACGGUCCUAAGGUAGCGAAAUUCCUUGUCGGGUAAGUUCCGACCUGCACGAAUGGCGUAAUGAUGGCCAGGCUGUCUCCACCCGAGACUCAGUGAAAUUGAACUCGCUGUGAAGAUGCAGUGUACCCGCGGCAAGACGGAAAGACCCCGUGAACCUUUACUAUAGCUUGACACUGAACAUUGAGCCUUGAUGUGUAGGAUAGGUGGGAGGCUUUGAAGUGUGGACGCCAGUCUGCAUGGAGCCGACCUUGAAAUACCACCCUUUAAUGUUUGAUGUUCUAACGUGGACCCGUAAUCCGGGUUGCGGACAGUGUCUGGUGGGUAGUUUGACUGGGGCGGUCUCCUCCUAAAGAGUAACGGAGGAGCACGAAGGUUGGCUAAUCCUGGUCGGACAUCAGGAGGUUAGUGCAAUGGCAUAAGCCAGCUUGACUGCGAGCGUGACGGCGCGAGCAGGUGCGAAAGCAGGUCAUAGUGAUCCGGUGGUUCUGAAUGGAAGGGCCAUCGCUCAACGGAUAAAAGGUACUCCGGGGAUAACAGGCUGAUACCGCCCAAGAGUUCAUAUCGACGGCGGUGUUUGGCACCUCGAUGUCGGCUCAUCACAUCCUGGGGCUGAAGUAGGUCCCAAGGGUAUGGCUGUUCGCCAUUUAAAGUGGUACGCGAGCUGGGUUUAGAACGUCGUGAGACAGUUCGGUCCCUAUCUGCCGUGGGCGCUGGAGAACUGAGGGGGGCUGCUCCUAGUACGAGAGGACCGGAGUGGACGCAUCACUGGUGUUCGGGUUGUCAUGCCAAUGGCACUGCCCGGUAGCUAAAUGCGGAAGAGAUAAGUGCUGAAAGCAUCUAAGCACGAAACUUGCCCCGAGAUGAGUUCUCCCUGAGACUUAGAGUCUCCUGAAGGAACGUUGAAGACGACGACGUUGAUAGGCCGGGUGUGUAAGCGCAGCGAUGCGUUGAGCUAACCGGUACUAAUGAACCGUGAGGCUUAACCUU
rnacentral:rRNA from 1 species